rnacentral:tRNA from 1 species
AUGGCGCAACUAUGGUCCUGAAUCUCUUCCGCCGAUGCGCGAUUAAGCGUCAGCAGGUUACGCUGGUGAGGUCGGCAGUUCGAAUCUGCCUAUCAGCACCA